rnacentral:rRNA from 1 species
GAUGAACGCUGGCGGCGUGCCUAAUACAUGCAAGUCGAGCGAACAGACGAGGAGCUUGCUCCUCUGACGUUAGCGGCGGACGGGUGAGUAACACGUGGAUAACCUACCUAUAAGACUGGGAUAACUUCGGGAAACCGGAGCUAAUACCGGAUAAUAUAUUGAACCGCAUGGUUCAAUAGUGAAAGACGGUUUUGCUGUCACUUAUAGAUGGAUCCGCGCCGCAUUAGCUAGUUGGUAAGGUAACGGCUUACCAAGGCGACGAUGCGUAGCCGACCUGAGAGGGUGAUCGGCCACACUGGAACUGAGACACGGUCCAGACUCCUACGGGAGGCAGCAGUAGGGAAUCUUCCGCAAUGGGCGAAAGCCUGACGGAGCAACGCCGCAUGAGUGAUGAAGGUCUUCGGAUCGUAAAGCUCUGUUAUUAGGGAAGAACAAAUGUGUAAGUAACUAUGCACGUCUUGACGGUACCUAAUCAGAAAGCCACGGCUAACUACGUG